AUGAAGAAGAUCAAGAGUGGAAAAGAGCUAGUGGAAGAAGUAAGGAAGAUUGAGAAGAACAUCAACGCUGGCAGCACUAUUUCUUCACAGUUUGAGCUGAGUGUUGCUGGGAUAUCCCUUGAUACAUGUGAGGUUCCAACACCGUCACAUCCAGCUGAGCAAGAUAGCGAGAUUCCAGAGGAAGAGAUACCUCAGAUUGAAGAAGAUGUAGUCGAAGCCAAGGCACAAGAUGAUCCAGAGCUCGAACAACAAAGUGAUAAAGUUGAAGACUCAUCAUCUAUUACUCUUGAAGAAGGAAAAGAAGUUGAUGUGAUUGAAGAUGAAGAACCAGAAACGCAUUUGCCCAUCGUCAUACAGGAGCGUGAUUUAGCAGGUUUAUCCAAUCCUCUUGAUGACAUGCUUCCUUAUGAGAUCUUUGCUGCUACUAUCCAUUGUGUUAUACCAUCACUUAAGCUAGACUUGAAAAAUAUUUGUUUGGACAUGAUCAUACAUACAUUGUUGGUGGCAUUGCUUUCAUUCCUGAUGAUGACACUUAUUUUCCUUAUGCUAGUCCUAUGCUUAAUGUAA
rnacentral:rRNA from 1 species